rnacentral:rRNA from 1 species
UACGUAGGGUGCAAGCGUUAAUCGGAAUUACUGGGCGUAAAGCGUGCGCAGGCGGUGAUGUAAGACAGAUGUGAAAUCCCCGGGCUCAACCUGGGAAUUGCAUUUGUGACUGCACGGCUAGAGUGUGUCAGAGGGGGGUAGAAUUCCACGUGUAGCAGUGAAAUGCGUAGAGAUGUGGAGGAAUACCGAUGGCGAAGGCAGCCCCCUGGGAUAACACUGACGCUCAUGCACGAAAGCGUGGGGAGCAAACAGG